rnacentral:rRNA from 1 species
UACGGAAGGCAGCAGUAGGGAAUAUUGCACAAUGGGCGCAAGCCUGAUGCAGCCAUGCCGCGUGUAUGAAGAAGGCCUUCGGGUUGUAAAGUACUUUCAGCGGGGAGGAAGGGAGUAAAGUUAAUACCUUUGCUCAUUGACGUUACCCGCAGAAGAAGCACCGGCUAACUCCGUGCCAGCAGCCGCGGUAAUACGGAGGGUGCAAGCGUUAAUCGGAAUUACUGGGCGUAAAGCGCACGCAGGCGGUUUUGUUAAGUCAGAUGUGAAAUCCCCGGGCUCAACCUGGGAACUGCAUCUGAUACUGGCAAGCUUGAGUCUCGUAGAGGGGGUAGAAUUCCAGGUGUAGCGGUGAAUGCGUAGAGAUCUGGAGGAAUACCGGUGGCGAAGGCGGGCCCCUGGGACGAGCUGACGCUCAGGUGCGAAGCGUGGGGAGCAAACAGGGAUUAGAUAACCCG